rnacentral:rRNA from 1 species
UUCCGGUUGAUCCCGCCGGACCUGACUGCUAUCGGAUUGAUACUAAGCCAUGCGAGUCUUUGUAGUAAUACAAGGCAGACGGCUCAGUAACACGUAGUCAACCUACCCUAUGGACAAGAAUAAUCUCGGGAAACUGGGCAUAAUUCUUGAUAGAUCAUAAUGCCUGGAAUGGUUUAUGGUUAAAAUGAUUCGUCGCCAUAGGAUGGGACUGCGGCCUAUCAGCUUGUUGGUGAGGUAAUGGCCCACCAAGGCGAUUACAGGUACGGGCUCUGAGAGGAGAAGCCCGGAGAUGGGUACUGAGACAAGGACCCAGGCCCUAUGGGGCGCAGCAGGCGAGAAAACUUUGCAAUGUGCGAAAGCACGACAAGGUUAGUCCGAGUGAUUUCUGCUAAAGAGAUCUUUUGCUAGUUAUAAAACCACUAGUGAAUAAGGGGUGGGCAAGUUCUGGUGUCAGCCGCCGCGGUAAAACCAGCACCUCAAGUGGUCAGGAUGAUUAUUGGGCCUAAAGCAUCCGUAGCCGGCUCUGUAAGUUUUCGGUUAAAUCCAUGUGCUCAACACAUGGGCUGCCGAAAAUACUGCAUAGCUAGGGAGUGGGAGAGGUAGACGGUACUCAGUAGGAAGGGGUAAAAUCCUUUGAUCUAUUGAUGACCACCUGUGGCGAAGGCGGUCUACCAGAACACGUUCGACGGUGAGGGAUGAAAGCUGGGGGAGCAAACCGGAUUAGAUACCCGGGUAGUCCCAGCUGUAAACGAUGCAGACUCGAUGAUGCAUUGGCAUAUAGCCAGUGCAGUGUCGCAGGGAAGCCGUUAAGUCUGCCGCCUGGGAAGUACGUACGCAAGUAUGAAACUUAAAGGAAUUGGCGGGGGAGCACCACAAGGGGUGAAGCCUGCGGUUCAAUUGGAGUCAACGCCGGG